rnacentral:rRNA from 1 species
CCUACGGGGGGCAGCAGUGGGGAAUAUUGGGCAAUGGGCGCAAGCCUGACCCAGCAACGCCGCGUGAAGGAAGAAGGCUUUCGGGUUGUAAACUUCUUUUGUCAGGGACGAAGCAAGUGACGGUACCUGACGAAUAAGCCACGGCGAACUACGUGCCAGCAGCCGCUGUAAGACGUCGGUGGCAGGCGUUAUCCGGAUUUACUGGGGGUAAAGGGCGUGUAGGCGGGACUGCAAGGCAGAUGUGAAAACCACGGGCUCAACCUGUGGCCUGCAUUUGAAACUGUGGUUCUUGAGUACUGGAGAGGCAGACGGAAUGCCUAGUGUAGCGGUGAAAUGCGUAGAUAUUAGGAGGAACACCAGUGGCGAAGGCGGUCUGCUGGACAGCAACUGACGCUGAGGCGCGAAAGCGUGGGGAGCAAACAGGAUUAGAUACCCGGGUAGUC